rnacentral:rRNA from 1 species
UACGUAGGGCGCAAGCGUUGUCCGGAUUUAUUGGGCGUAAAGAGCGUGUAGGCGGUUAGGUAGGUCCGUUGUGAAAACUCGAGGCUCAACCUCGAGACGCCGAUGGAAACCAUCUGACUAGAGUCCGGAAGAGGAGAGUGGAAUUCCUGGUGUAGCGGUGAAAUGCGAAGAUAUCAGGAAGAACACCCGUGGCUAAGGCGGCUCUCUAGUACGUGACUGACGCUGAGACGCGAAAGCGUGGGGAGCGAACAGG